UCGGUUGUCACGCCAGUGGCAUUGCCGAGUAGCUAAGUGCGGAAGAGAUAACCGCUGAAAGCAUCUAAGCGGGAAACUUGCCUCAAGAUGAGAUCUCACUGGAACCUUGAGUUCCCUGAAGGGCCGUCGAAGACUACGACGUUGAUAGGUUGGGUGUGUAAGCGCUGUGAGGCGUUGAGCUAACCAAUACUAAUUGCCCGUGAGGCUUGACC
rnacentral:rRNA from 1 species